rnacentral:rRNA from 1 species
CAGCAGCCGCGGUAAUACGGAGGGGGCUAGCGUUGUUCGGAAUUACUGGGCGUAAAGCGCACGUAGGCGGCUUGGUAAGUUAGAGGUGAAAGCCUGGAGCUCAACUCCAGAAUUGCCUUUAAGACUGCCGAGCUAGCAGGUGAGAGAGGUAAGUGGAAUUCCGAGUGUAGAGGUGAAAUUCGUAGAUAUUCGGAAGAACACCAGUGGCGAAGGCGGCUUACUGGCUCAUACUGGACGCUCAUGCACGAAAGCGUGGGGAGCAAACAGGAUUAGAUACCCCCGUAGUCCCUGUCUCUUAUAC